UACGUAGGUGGCAAGCGAUACUCGGAAUCACUAGGCGUAAAGCGCAGGUAGGCGGUUCGGUAAGUCUUUUGUGAAAGCUCCCGGCUCAACUGGGAGAGGCCAAGGGAAACUACCGGACUAGAGUGUGGUAGGGGAUACUGGAAUUCCUGGUGUAGCGGUGAAAUGCGUAGAUAUCAGGAGGAACACCGAUGGCGAAGGCAGGUCUCUGGGCGAUUAACUGACGCUGGAG
rnacentral:rRNA from 1 species